UUGGCCGUGGUGUAUCAGUCAGCAUUUCACGUUGUGAACGUGACGGAGCGGGUGCGAAUCCCGUCGGCCAGUCCA
rnacentral:tRNA from 1 species